rnacentral:lncRNA from 1 species
AUGCCUAAUGGUUUGUCUGAUUUUUUUCAGCAGGGUACAUAUCUGGGCCACAUACAACUAACCACAAAUAGCCCACAUUUGGCAUGCCAUUACAUAAACGGUGCCAUCAUUGCCAGACCUGGCCCACAUCUGGCUAACAUUCUAUUUACCAUGUCAGAAAUAGGCCAAAAGUGCCGGCUUGAUGCCAGAUCUGGCCCAGACCUGUCUGUUACAGAUCUGGGCCACAUACACCUAACCACAAUUGGCCCACAUUUGGCAUGCCAUUACAUAAACAUUGCCAUCAUUGCCAGACCUGGCCCACAUCUGGCUAACAUACUAUUUACCAGGGCAGAAAUAGACCAAAAGUGCCGGCUUGAUGCCAGAUCUGGCCCAGACCUGUCUGUUACAAAUCUGGGCCACAUACACCUGACCACAAUUGGCCCACAUUUGGCAUGCCAUUUCAUAAACAGUGCCAUCACUGCCAAACCUGGCCCAGACCUGUCUGUUACAGACCUGGGCCACAUACACCUAACCACAAUUGGCCCACAUUUGGCAUGCCAUUACAUAAACGGUGCCAUCAUUGCCAGACCUGGCCCACAUCUGGCUAACAUACUAUUUACCAGGUCAGAAAUAGGCCAAAAGUGCCAGCUUGAUGCCAGAUCUGGCCCAGACCUGUCUGUUACAGAUCUGGGCCACAUACACCUAACCACGAUUGGCCCACAUUUGGCAUGCCAUAUCAUAAACGGUGCCAUCACUGCCAAACCUGGCCCAGACCUGUCUGUUACAGAUCUGGGCCACAUACACCUAACCACGAUUGGCCCACAUUUGGCAUGCCAUAUCAUAAACGGUGCCAUCACUGCCAGACCUGGCCCAAAUCUGGCUAACAUACUAUUUGCCAUGCCAGAUGUAGGCCAGAGGUGCCGGCUUGAUGCCGGAUCUGGCCCGGACCCGCUUGCUAUGUGGGUAACUGCAAAACAUUUGAUUGUGCAUGAAGAUUUACUUCUUUUUUUACUUGUUCUCAGUUUACAAAUGAAAUCCUUCUUUCUUGUCCACUCUUCCCUUCUCUCCCCUUCUCCUCUACCUUCUAUUGUUUUCCCUGUUUUUCUUUCCCCUCCACAUUUCUCUCCUUCCUUCUUCCCUUCUUGUAAUCUUCUUCUCUUCUCUUCUCUUGUUUUGCUACUAUUUCAUUCCUUUCCUUUCCCUCCUUUCCUCGACUCUUCUUCACGUCCUCAGAUUAUUAUGCAACUCCUUUGUGCAGCCUUGCCAUGGCUGCUGUUUCUGUUCACUCCCAAAGGGUAA